GGAGGGUGCGAACGUUGUUCGGAAUCACUGGGCAUAAAGAGCUCGUAGGCGGCUGUGCAAGUGUGAAGUGAAAUCCCACGGCUCACCCGUGGAACUGCUUUGCAGACUGCACGGCUAGAGGAUGGUAGGGGAGAGCGGAACUCCUGGUGGAGCGGUGAAAUGCGUAGAUAUCAGGAGGGACACCGGUGGCGAAGGCGGCUCUCUGGUCCAUACCUGACGCUGAGGAGCGAAAGCUAGGGUAGCGAACGGGAUUAGAUACCCCGGUAGUCCUAGCCGUAAACCGAUGGGCACUAGCUAGGGGGUCUCCCUGUGGGAUCCUGGUGAAGCAAAUGUGAUAAGUGCCCCCCGCCUGGGGAGUAUGGUCGCAAGGCUG
rnacentral:rRNA from 1 species